rnacentral:lncRNA from 1 species
CUGCACAAGCUCUUUUGCCUGCGGCCACCUAAGACGUAACUUUGCUCCUUAUUCGCUUUCCGCCAUGAUUGUGAGGCCUCCCCCACCAUGUGGAACUCUUCUUCUAGAUGGGAUCGAACUUCCUCCUUUCGCUCAGAGAGGUUUGAUUGUCUGAAGCCUUCUUCUCUCAACUUGUCAAAGUCAUUCUCCAUCUAGGUUUGUCCGUUGCUGAAAACGUCCUAAUAAGAAGAUAAGGUGACCGAAUAAGGGGAUUACUUGGCAGAGAUAUGAGAGAACUGGGUUCUUGACCCCACUUUGCCAUGAACUUGGUGACUGCAAUUAGUGUGGAAUUGUAACUUCCCUUCUCCAUUAAAAAUGCUUGUUGAAGAAAGUGGCCAUAUUGGUCAGCCUAUUGGGCAGGGAACUGCAGGUGGUACCCAGGAUCUGAGGAUGGCUUCCAGAUGACAGCAAGCAAAACCCAGGGCUCCCAGUCCUCUAACCACAACAGAAUGGAUUCUGCAAACAAUUCGAGUGAGUUUGGAAGCAGAUUCUUCCCCAGGCAGAGGAGCCUUUCCCUGUGGCCACCACUGCCUUCAGCCCAUAAGGGAGUUUUUCCAGGCUACCUCCGAUGAUCACUUAAAGCUCAACAGCUCUUCAUUCAGCUUGUGAGAUAGCCAGUCAUGGGACUGCUGGAUCAACUGGUAGGUACUAUUUUUAGUUAUUUGAGAAAUCUCUUACUGUUUUCCAUAGAGGUUGCACUGGUUUACAUUCCCACCAAUAGUGGAUAACUGUUCCCUUUCCUCUGCAUCCCUGCCAACAUCUGUUGUUUUUUGACUUUUUUAUGAUAGCCAUUUUGACUGGUGUGAGAUGGUAUCUCGUUGUGAUUUUAAUUUGAAUUUCUCUGAUAAUGGGCAAUUUUGAACAUUUCUUCAUGUAUUUAUUGGGCAAUUGUAUGUUUUCUUUUGAAAAAUCUCUGUUCAUGUCCUUUGCCCACUUUUUAAUAGAGUUGUUUGUUUUUUCUUGCUGAGUUGAGUUCCUUGUAGAUUACUGAUAUUAGUCCUUUGUCAGAUGCAUGGUUUGCAAAUACUUUUUCCUAUUCUGUGCAUUGUCUCUUUACUCUGUUGCCUAUAUUUUUUGCUGUGCGGAGCUUUUUAGUUUAAGUCUCAUUUGUCUGUUUUUGCUGCAUUUAAUUUCGAGUUAUUAGUCAUAAAUUCUUUGCCUAGACCAAUGUCCA